rnacentral:rRNA from 1 species
ACUCCUACGGGAGGCAGCAGUGGGGAAUAUUGGACAAUGGGGGAACCCGUGCAUCCAGCCAUGCCGCGUGUGUGAAGAAGGCCUUAUGGUUGUAAAGCACUUUAAGCGAGGAGGAGGCUACUGAGACUAAUACUCUUGGAUAGUGGACGUUACUCGCAGAUAAGACACCGCGUAACUCUGUGCCAGCAGCCGCGGUAAUACAGAGGGUGCGAGCGUUAAUCGGAUUUACUGGGCGUAAAGCGUGCGUAGGCGGCCAUUUAAGUCAAAUGUGAAAUCCCCGAGCUUAACUUGGGAAUUGCAUUCGAUACUGGAUGGCUAGAGUAUGGGAGAGGAUGGUAGAAUUCCAGGUGUAGCGGUGAAAUGCGUAGAGAUCUGGAGGAAUACCGAUGGCGAAGGCAGCCAUCUGGCCUAAUACUGACGCUGAGGUACGAAAGCAUGGGGAGCAAACAGGAUUAGACACCCUGGUAGCGAGUAG